CCCCCCCCACCUCGUAACCCAUUUCUUGGUUACCCAAUCAUCUUCCAAACAUAAUUAUUUUCACAUAGUUAUUCUCAUUAUUCUCACAGGCCUUUACGACUUUGUGUAAUAGACUUUUUCAUUUCAAUUAUUUUUUUGUGCGGUUUGUAGUGGUCGCAGUAGAGCUUCGUACGUCGAAUUUUACAUUUUUUAUUUUAUUUUUUUCCAUAAACCAUGCCUGCAAUUUAGAAAGGCAGAAAUUAGUAAUGCCAGUCUCAAAUUCCACUUAAAACGUGUGAAGCGUGCAGGAAAUGCAAUAAAUAGCUGAAGUUGUGUUGACGUAAAUAUUCCAAGUUCAAAUCAAUCGGGAACGUCACAAAAGAUACAUCUCUUUGUUCUUUACACUUCUUUGUAGAAUCGCACCUACAGAAGAGCAUCCAGGCCUGAUGGAAUGUCGGCCGGAAACAAUAAAAAGACAGUAAAAAAAGUCUAGAAGGAGCUUAGAGCAAAAGUACCAACAUUUCUCAUUGAAGUCUGAGGAAUUUACUUCAAGUACAGGUACUUCAAUAAAGUCGAAAAAUUCUGUGAUCUUGAACCAACUUUUUCUUCUGAGAUGCAGAGCGUGGACAUAGAAUCUCUCUUUAUCUCACUUUUGUCUCCCGUACUAUUUCUAAUGUAAAUAAAUGGAAGAAUAAACCAAUCUUUCGUAA